rnacentral:rRNA from 1 species
AUUGAACGCUGGCGGCAUGCUUUACACAUGCAAGUCGAACGGCAGCGCGGGCUUCGGCCUGGCGGCGAGUGGCGAACGGGUGAGUAAUGCAUCGGAACGUGCCCAGUAGUGGGGGAUAGCCCGGCGAAAGCCGGAUUAAUACCGCAUACGACCUGAGGGUGAAAGCGGGGGACCGAAAGGCCUCGCUCUAUUGGAGCGGCCGAUGUCGGAUUAGCUAGUUGGUGGGGUAAAGGCUUACCAAGGCGACGAUCCGUAGCUGGUCUGAGAGGACGACCAGCCACACUGGGACUGAGACACGGCCCAGACUCCUACGGGAGGCAGCAGUGGGGAAUUUUGGACAAUGGGGGCAACCCUGAUCCAGCCAUGCCGCGUGCGGGAAGAAGGCCUUCGGGUUGUAAACCGCUUUUGUUCGGGAAGAAAUCCUCUGGGCUAAUACCCCGGGGGGAUGACGGUACCGGAAGAAUAAGCACCGGCUAACUACGUG